rnacentral:rRNA from 1 species
UACGUAGGAUGCGAGCGUUAAUCGGAAUUACUGGGCGUAAAGCGUGCGCAGGCGGUUGUAUAAGACAGAUGUGAAAUCCCCGGGCUCAACCUGGGAACUGCAUUUGUGACUGUAUAGCUAGAGUACGGCAGAGGGGGAUGGAAUUCCGCGUGUAGCAGUGAAAUGCGUAGAUAUGCGGAGGAACACCGAUGGCGAAGGCAAUCCCCUGGGCCUGUACCGACGCUCAUGCACGAAAGCGUGGGGAGCAAACAGGAUUAGAAAUCCUAGUAGU